rnacentral:rRNA from 2 species
GCAUGCCUUACACAUGCAAGUCGAACGGCAGCGCGGGAGCAAUCCUGGCGGCGAGUGGCGAACGGGUGAGUAAUACAUCGGAACGUGCCCAAUCGUGGGGGAUAACGCAGCGAAAGCUGUGCUAAUACCGCAUACGAUCUACGGAUGAAAGCAGGGGAUCGCAAGACCUUGCGCGAAUGGAGCGGCCGAUGGCAGAUUAGGUAGUUGGUGAGGUAAAGGCUCACCAAGCCUUCGAUCUGUAGCUGGUCUGAGAGGACGACCAGCCACACUGGGACUGAGACACGGCCCAGACUCCUACGGGAGGCAGCAGUGGGGAAUUUUGGACAAUGGGCGAAAGCCUGAUCCAGCCAUGCCGCGUGCAGGAUGAAGGCCUUCGGGUUGUAAACUGCUUUUGUACGGAACGAAACGGCCUUUUCUAAUAAAGAGGGCUAAUGACGGUACCGUAAGAAUAAGCACCGGCUAACUAC